AGCAACAGCUAGCUUAAACACUCAAUAACUAAACAAUAUAAAUAAAACAAAAUAGCCUUACACCAAAACUUAAACCAUUCUUUUACCUUAGUAUGGGAGACAGAAAAGGUCCCACAAAGCAAUAGAAAAAGUACCGCAAGGGAAAGCUGAAAGAGAAGUGAAACAACCCAUAUAAGCACUAAAAAGCAAAGAUUUAACCUUGUACCUUUUGCAUCAUGAUUUAGCCAGUAUACCCAAGCAAAGAGACCUUUAGUUUGAAACCCCGAAACCAGGUGAGCUACCCCGAGACAGCCUAUUAUAGGGCCAACCCGUCUCUGUGGCAAAAGAGUGGAAAGAGCUCCGGGUAGAAGUGACAGACCUACCGAACCUGGUGAUAGCUGGUUACCUAAGAAAUGGAUAGAAGUUCAGCCUCGUGCACCCCAAGUCAAGCAAAUAAGAACAAGACACUGAGAGAAAUACACGAGAGUUAGUUAAAGGGGGUACAGCCCCUUUAACGAAGGACACAACCUUCCCAGGAGGAUAAAGAUCACAAUACACAAAACAUACUGUUCUAGUGGGCCUAAAAGCAGCCAUCUAAACAGAAAGCGUUAAAGCUCAGACAGACAAAAGUUUAUUAUUCUGAUAAAAAAUCUUAUUCCCCUAAACACUAUUAGGCCAACCCAUGCCCCCAUGGAAGAGACUAUGCUAAAAUGAGUAACAAGAAGGCCCGCCCUUCUCCAAGCACAAGUGUAAGCCAAAACGGACCGACCAUUGGCAACUAACGAACUCAACCCAAGAGAGCAAUGUGAGCUACAAAAAAAUCAAGAAAAACCCACAGCUAAACCAUCGUUACCCCCACACUGGAGUGCACCUAAAGGAAAGACUAAAAGAAAAGGAAGGAACUCGGCAAACACAAGCCUCGCCUGUUUACCAAAAACAUCGCCUCCUGCAACACAACCAAGUAUAGGAGGUCCAGCCUGCCCAGUGACUACGAGUUUAACGGCCGCGGUAUUUUGACCGUGCAAAGGUAGCGCAAUCACUUGUCUUUUAAAUAGAGACCUGUAUGAAUGGCUAAACGAGGGCUUAGCUGUCUCCCCUUUCCAGUCAGUGAAAUUGAUCUACCCGUGCAGAAGCGCG
rnacentral:rRNA from 1 species